rnacentral:rRNA from 1 species
UUGACGGAGAGUUUGAUCCUGGCUCAGGACGAACGCUGGCGGCGUGCUUAACACAUGCAAGUCGAGCGGUAAGGCCCUUUCGGGGGUACACGAGCGGCGAACGGGUGAGUAACGCGUGAGUAACCUGCCCCCCUCUCUGGGAUAACAGUUGGAAACGGCUGCUAAUACCGGAUAUUCAGACCUUUAGGCAUCUUUUGGUUUGGAAAGUUCUGGCGGUGGGGGAUGGACUCGCGUCCUAUCAGCUUGUUGGUGGGGUAGUGGCCUACCAAGGCGACGACGGGUAGCCGGCCUGAGAGGGCGACCGGCCACAUUGGGACUGAGAUACGGCCCAAACUCCUACGGGAGGCAGCAGUGGGGAAUAUUGCACAAUGGGGGAAACCCUGAUGCAGCAACGCCGCGUGCGGGAUGACGGCCUUCGGGUUGUAAACCGCUUUCAGCCAUGACGAAGCUUUUGUGACGGUAGUGGCAGAAGAAGCACCGGCUAACUACGUGCCAGCAGCCGCGGUGAUACGUAGGGUGCGAGCGUUGUCCGGAAUUAUUGGGCGUAAAGAGCUUGUAGGCGGUUUGUCGCGUCGAAAGUGUAAACUCAGUGCUUAACGCUGAGCCUGCUUUCGAUACGGGCUGACUAGAGGAAGGUAGGGGAGAAUGGAAUUCCCGGUGGAGCGGUGGAAUGCGCAGAUAUCGGGAGGAACACCAGUGGCGAAGGCGGUUCUCUGGACCUUUCCUGACGCUGAGAAGCGAAAGCGUGGGUAGCAAACAGGCUUAGAUACCCUGGUAGUCCACGCCGUAAACGGUGGGUACUAGGUGUGGGGGACAUUCCACGUUCUCUGUGCCGUAGCUAACGCAUUAAGUACCCCGCCUGGGGAGUACGGCCGCAAGGCUAAAACUCAAAGGAAUUGACGGGGCCCCGCACAAGCGGCGGAGCAUG